CCUAGUAACGGCGAGUGAAGCGGCAACAGCUCAAAUUUGAAAUCUGGCUCUUUCAGAGUCCGAGUUGUAAUUUGCAGAGGGCGCUUUGGUGUUGGCAGCGGUCCAAGUUCCUUGGAACAGGACGUCACAGAGGGUGAGAAUCCCGUACGUGGUCGCUAGCCUUCGCCGUGUAAAGCCCCUUCGACGAGUCGAGUUGUUUGGGAAUGCAGCUCUAAAUGGGAGGUAAAUUUCUUCUAAAGCUAAAUACUGGCCAGAGACCGAUAGCGCACAAGUAGAGUGAUCGAAAGAUGAAAAGCACUUUGGAAAGAGAGUCAAAUAGCACGUGAAAUUGUUGAAAGGGAAGCGCUUGCAGCCAGACUUGCCUGUAGUUGCUUAUCCGGACUUUUGUCCGGUGCACUCUUCUGCGGGCAGGCCAGCAUCAGUUUGGGCGGUUGGAUAAAGGUCUCUGUCAUGUACCUCUCUUCGGGGAGAACUUAUAGGGGAGACGACAUGCAACCAGCCUGGACUGAGGUCCGCGCAUCUGCUAGGAUGCUGGCGUAAUGGCUGUAAGCGGCCCGUCUUGAAACACGGACCAAGGAGUCUAACAUCUAUGCGAGUGUUUGGGUGUCAAGCCCAGACGCGUAAUGAAAGUGAACGGAGGUGGGAACCCUUUGGGUGCACCAUCGACCGAUCCUGAUGUCUUCGGAUGGAUUUGAGUAAGAGCAUGGCUGUUGGGACCCGAAAGAUGGUGAACUAUGCUUGAAUAGGGUGAAGCCAGAGGAAACUCUGGUGGAGGCUCGCAGCGGUUCUGACGUGCAAAUCGAUCGUCAAAUUUGGGCAUAGGGGCG
rnacentral:rRNA from 1 species